UCUUGCUAGAAGGUGAGAGCAGCUCUUCUAGUCUGCAUAAGCUGUCCCAUAACUGGAAACCUCUAUACCUUGGUUUUCUGGGGGUGAAGGGUGUUGUGAGCUCAGGAGGUGCCCCUGUAAGCAGUGGAGCAAAAGGAGCUGGAGACAAUAUUCCACACAGAUCAGCCCCUCUGGGGUCUUCUGCAGCUGCAUGGGUCUUGUGAUGGGCUGAGCUGUUCCUCAGGGAGAGGAAAACGAAGGGACAGCCAUCAGAACCUCUACCCUUUGAUCUCUGUAGUCUUUUCAGGACAUUAUUCAGAGUUUGCAGGUGCACCACUGCCAUUUUCUGCAGAUAAGCCCGCACAGUUGUUCAAGGGGAAAUUGAUGGUGAAGGUAAAUGUCCUAUGGUUCUGGAGAAAGUCUUGCUGACCCUGUAGGAUGCGAAAGGUCAAUAAACUGUCAUUGUGUGAGAUGUCUUCUGUCUUCAUUUUGAACAGAGGAUGCAUCUGAAGGAGAGCUGCAGGCUGUGGCCUUGCAAGGGGAUCCUCCUUCCAAGGUGCAGGACUUGGCAUUGGUCCUUGCUGAGUUUCCCAAGAUUCCUGAUGCUCCAAACAGCAGUUCUGCCUUUGAGUGUAUUAACUGCUCCCCACCAUGACCGAUUUGGUGCCCCAUGCAAGCCUGAUGAGAGUGGCCUCCAUGGUUCCCUUUCUCUGGGUCCCUUCUAGAUGAAGAUGUGAAGGAGGGCAAAUCCCAGGAUAGGUUUCAAUAUUGCUUCGCUUGCUACUUCCAGGUAGAGUAUGACACACCAAUGCCUGCCCAUCCUACCAUUUCCCAUCCAUGUAGUUGUCUAUGUAUAUAGACUGUAAUGUCCACAUUUGGAUACAAGGCUCUUUUGGGAGAGGGUGUCAAAAGUUUUGAAAGCUGAUGUGAAUUGUCUCUGUUGCUUUCCCCUUGUUCCCAAACUCAUUUUCAGCUAGAAGGUGAGCAGCUUGGUCAGGUGUAACUUACUCUUGGUAAAUCUGUGCUGUUUUCAGUACUCUCUCCUUCAUGUGCCCAGAAAUGUGUUCCAAGAGUACCUGCUCCAGCAGCCCCAUGCGUUUUUAUAAACUGUGUGUAUCCUUAAACAACCCAGAGUUCUUUGCACUCUUUAUCAGUCACUGGCACUACACACAGUCCUUCCUAAAACUGAAAGCAAAUCUGUUGUUGAACACUGUUAACUCAUGUUGAUUUGGCUUAGCAGCUGCUGCUGCUUUUAUUUUCAAAUUCCACUGAAUAGUUAAAGUGGGCUUUUAAAAUGCAGUUUGUUUGUAAAUCAGGCAGGUCUGCUCAGCAACAGAAAUCAUUACUUUUCAAGUCUUAGAUUUGAUCAAUGCCAUGUUCCUUGGGGUGCCGUUUUAUCUGACAUUUCACACUGUCGUGCAUAUCAAACAAAAACUGCAUCUACUACUUUAAAAAAAUCAUGUUGUGGGUUUUCCAUGCCCUGUGGUGUUUGCUUGUACAUUUUCAUUAUGCAUCACAUAUCCUGCAUUCAGCAGUAACCUCUUUCUGAACUUCUGAAAUUUAAAGCAGAGGUCCUAACAGCUUCCUAUGAAUAAAUCAGAUGCUCUCUGCUCUAUGUAGUAUCUUCUUAGUGUGGUACAUUAACCUGAACCACAUUAAAUAAAAAUAUUGCCUCCAGAUUUCUUUUGGUUAUUUUUGUGGAUUUUGCAGACUCCAGAGUGUGUUUUGGAUGUGUCUUGCAUUACUAGUGUCCUAUGGACCAAGCUGCUUACAGCAUGGCAGUAGCAGUAAUGCAGCAGAGUGCAAUUUGGCACACUUACAGAUUCUUAAGGUCCCCAGUUCCCCAGACUCUUCAAUUUCUCCUGUUGUCUUAAUGUGGGCAAAACCAGGCAGCUUAUUUCUCAACAUAGCUGCCCCAUCAGCAGGAACUGUAGUUUCCCAGCUGGUGCUCUUUGUUACCAGUAAGUUGUUGGAGACCUUGAACCAUCCAGAAAAUGUUCACAGAUAUUUGAGGACCAUAGAAAUGGUCCUAAUGAUGUAGCACUUAAGUGAAAUUUAUAUAUAUGAAGCAAGAGAGACAGAACCUCUAAACUAUUUUAGCAUCUAUAUUAUUGUGCAGU